AGACCAACCAGCCCGCACGCACCACACCACACAACACGAUUGAUUCCCCAACCAACCACCUACGCUCUCCCUUCCCUACCCCGAUCUCGAUCCCAUCGCUGCCGCCGGCGAUCUCCUCACCCCCCCCUGCGCCACCGCCCCCAACCUUCUGUUCCUCUCCCAUCGGAAUCCCAAGGGAAGGGAAGGGUAGGGAAGGCAAGGGAAGGGAGAGGGAGCGCCCAGAUCCACGGCGGCAUCAGCGCGCUGUCGUCGACCUGAUCCGCGUCCGUCCUCGAGGGAGGUUGGCCAUGGAGGUCUGACCCGGCCCCGCAGCAGCGAUGGACGGACGGAGACGCCCCAAACCCGAGAACGACACCUCAACCUUCAAGGACGACGCCUCAACCUUCAAGGGCGCGUGCCGGCGACCGCGGAUCUUCGAUGACGGCUAUGGAUGGCUGCCCCGGAUCUGGACGCACGACCUGCAGCUGCUGCAGCAGCUGGACGACCCAACGCACGAGCCCUCCCCCCUCCCUCAUGGCUCUGCUUCCUCCUACCCUGCCCCCCUCACGUGGGCGUGCUGCCUUGGCAGGGAUCCUCCAUAUCAAGGGAAGAGCGGGGUAGUGUGGGCGAGGGAAGUCCUUGUAUACCAGUCUUCUAAAAGAAACACAAAAGGAAACAAGAUGCAGUAAAUUUUUGAUGAAGAACAUUUUUCCAUAGCUUGUGAACAUAAUUGGUAUUCUAUCUAGCUGUGAGACCUUGCCUUUAUUUUGUAUGAAGUUAUGGUCACAGGAUCAUAGCACUCUGGGUUUUGGAUUCAGGUACAGGAUCAUGUGAUAAAAGAUAUGGUCACACCCAACAAUACACAUGACCGACCGCCGCUCCUCACGGACACUCCAGAACGUCCCAGCGUGGCGUCACUGGAGGAGACCAUGGUCAUGCACUCAACGGCUGGAACGAAGGGGCAGAGCAGGUGCUGACAUCUUCAUCUGGCCUUAGUUCCGAGGAAUUUAACUUGCCUACAAACUAUUUAAUUAAGCAUGUGGUCUACUCAGCCUCGUACUCCUUUGGCUGAGUUCUUGGUCCCCCUUUCCUUUUCUAUUCCCCUACCUAGCCUUCGAGCUAUGGCUGUGGCUUGUCGGUCAUCGAGCCGUGCUAAAUAGUACUGUUAGUUCAUUCCGGCAUCCUCAGACGAGGGAAGUCAAGGAGAUUAUAUUGCUUUCGCAUGCUCACCGGUGUUGGGCGCUGCCAGAGUUUGAAGCAUUGGGUAGCCUGAGCCCAAGAAACCUGGCACAAGAGAAGGAAGGGAAGAUGUUAUUGGAUACACUUAGCAUAAGGAGGCUUAAGAGUGAUGCUCAAGGAGACAUCGAAUGCUAUGAAGAACAGAGACCCAGAUAGGGUGCCCCUUGGCAGGCUGGACGGAAAGUCAGCAUCAAAAUUGCAGAAGAGAGAGCCCAACAGGGUGCCCGUUGGGAGGUUGGACAAGAAUUCGGCGUGGAAAAUGCAGAAGAGAGAGCCAAAUAGGGUGGACAAGAAUGCGUGUUGAUUCGACAUGUGAUUAUCUAACCAGGAGAAACCGGUAGCUCAUUGAUCUCCGGUACUUGUUGGUAGACAGUCUCACAGGUUGUGAAACCAUGGUUUCUUUCUCCAUCCCAUUAUCUAGCUUAUCUGUAUACCUGCAGACCAUGAGAAGAUUUGGCUGCAUUUUUUAGUCGACACUCUCCGUGGUCAUCUAGAGAUGUACCUAGAUUAAUUUAGCGACCACUAGUGUUUCUUGAUCUGCUUCAGUUAAGACCAAAAGUGUUUCUUGGUUU